UACGUAGGCAGCAAGCGUUGUUCGGAGUUACUGGGCGUAAAGCGUGCGCAGGCGGUUUUGUAAGUCUGUCGUGAAAUCCCCGGGCUCAACCUGGGAAUUGCGAUGGAGACUGCAAGGCUAGAAUCUGGCAGAGGGGGGUAGAAUUCCACGUGUAGCAGUGAAAUGCGUAGAGAUGUGGAGGAACACCGAUGGCGAAGGCAGCCCCCUGGGUCAAGAUUGACGCUCAUGCACGAAAGGCGUGGGGAGCAAACAGGAUUAGAGUACCCUUG
rnacentral:rRNA from 1 species